UGAGGAAUAUUGGUCAAUGGACGGAGGUCUGAACCAGCCAAGUAGCGUGCAGGAUUGACGGCCCUAUGGGUUGUAAACUGCUUUUGUUGGGGAGUAAAGUGGGGCACGCGUGCCUUUUUGCAUUUACCCUUCGAAUAAGGACCGGCUAAUUCCGUGCCAGCAGCCGCGGUAAUACGGAAGGUCCAGGCGUUAUCCGGAUUUAUUGGGUUUAAAGGGAGUGUAGGCGGUCUGUUAAGCGUGUUGUGAAAUUUAGGUGCUCAACAUCUACCUUGCAGCGCGAACUGGCGGACUUGAGUGCACGCAACGUAUGCGGAAUUCAUGGUGUAGCGGUGAAAUGCUUAGAUAUUAUGACGAACUCCGAUUGCGAAGGCAGCGUACGGGAGUGUUACUGACGCUUAAGCUCGAAGGUGCGGGUAUCGAACAGGAUUAGAUACCCUGGUAGUCCGCACGGUAAACGAUGGAUGCCCGCUGUUAGCGCCUGGCGUUAGCGGCUAAGCGAAAGCAUUAAGCAUCCCACCUGGGGAGUACGCCGGCAACGGUG
rnacentral:rRNA from 1 species